GAUGAACGCUAGCUACAGGCUUAACACAUGCAAGUCGAGGGAUCCGCGCACGGGUGAGUAACGAAUAUCCCACCUUCCCAUCACUGUGGGAUAACCUGCCGAAAGGCAGACUAAUACCGCAUCGUAAUGGGUGGGGAUUCGUAUGAGUAUCUUGUUGGCGGGGUAACGGCCCACCAAGGCGACGAUUAGUAGGGGUGCUGAGAGGAAGCGCCCCCACAUUGGAACUGAGACACGGUCCAAACUCCUACGGGAGGCAGGAGUGAGGAAUAUUGGUCAAUGGGCGAGAGCCUGAACCAGCCAAGUAGCGUGCAGGAUGACGGCCUAUGGGUUGUAAACUGCUUUUAGAUGGGGAUAGGUACCAUAUGAAUAAGGACCGGCUAAUUCCGUGCCAGCCGCCGCGGUAAUAC
rnacentral:rRNA from 1 species